AGGACGAACGCUGGCGGCGUGCUUAACACAUGCAAGUCGAACGGUAAGGCCCUUCGGGGUACACGAGUGGCGAACGGGUGAGUAACACGUGGGUGAUCUGCCCUGCACUUCGGGAUAAGCUUGGGAAACUGGGUCUAAUACCGGAUAUGACUACGAAUCGCAUGGUUUGUGGUGGAAAGCUUUUGCGGUGUGGGAUGGGCCCGCGGCCUAUCAGCUUGUUGGUGGGGUGAUGGCCUACCAAGGCGACGACGGGUAGCCGGCCUGAGAGGGUGUCCGGCCACACUGGGACUGAGAUACGGCCCAGACUCCUACGGGAGGCAGCAGUGGGGAAUAUUGCACAAUGGGCGCAAGCCUGAUGCAGCGACGCCGCGUGAGGGAUGACGGCCUUCGGGUUGUAAACCUCUUUCAGUAUUGACGAAGCGCAAGUGACGGUAGGUACAGAAGAAGGACCGGCCAACUACGUGCCAGCAGCCGC
rnacentral:rRNA from 1 species